CCUACGGGGGGCAGCAGUGAGGAAUAUUGGUCAAUGGGCGUAAGCCUGAACCAGCCAAGUCGCGUGAGGGAUGAAGGAUCUAUGGAUCGUAAACCUCUUUUAUAUGGGAAUAAAGUGCGGGACGUGUCCCUUUUUGUAUGUACCUUAUGAAUAAGCAUCGGCUAACUCCGUGCCAGCAGCCGCGGUAAUACGGAGGAUCCGAGCGUUAUCCGGAUUUAUUGGGUUUAAAGGGUGCGUAGGCGGCUAAUUAAGUCAGCGGUGAAAGUUUGUGGCUCAACCAUAGAAUUGCCGUUGAAACUGGGUGGCUUGAGUAUGUUUGAGGCAGGCGGAAUGCGUGGUGUAGCGGUGAAAUGCAUAGAUAUCACGCAGAACCCCGAUUGCGAAGGCAGCCUGCCAAGCCAUAACUGACGCUGAUGCACGAAAGCGUGGGGAUCAAACAGGAUUAGAUACCCCAGUAGUC
rnacentral:rRNA from 1 species